UUUCUUUUUUUUUUUGUCUUUUUGAGACAGGGCUAUGAAAGGCAGUCCAGGCUGGCCUUGAACUGCCAAUGAUCCUUCUGUCUCAGAUUCCUGAGUCCUGGGAUUAUAGGCGUGCACCUCUGCACGCACCCACGCCCAGUUUGAGAAAGCAUAAAUUUUAGAGUAAGGAGGCGUUCAAAGGGCGUUGAAGCCUGCCUUGAAACAGGGAUCGGAACCUCUGACCUUCCUGACAGCCGGAGCCAGUGUUACAGAUGGAGACAAACAUGAACGCGUGAAUAAGAGGCAAGAUCAAACGAGGUGGAUCAUAGCAUGGCGGCAGCACAGAGCUGCCAAAUGAAGCUUCCUGGCCACAUGAGUUUGGCUACAGUAUUAAGAGUAGGUCUACAGCCUAUCAGAUGACGGGGAUCUGUGCCCAACGUUUAUGACAAAAUUCAAAUGAUUCCAGAGGUCGUGCAGGUUUCCAGGCAAAAAUAUGCACCAGACACCAGUGUGUGGAACAGGCUCCUGAUCAUGAGGGCAGCGAAGUUCUCCUGGUGUGUUGCCUGAGGUGCUUCUCCCUCAUCCCAGCCUUCCCUCCAGAGUCCUUUUCUCAUCAGUCAAUCCCAUGGUCCUUGCCUGGAAGAGAGAUUCUGCAGAAAAUGAAAGAAAUGCUGUUAAUAAUGUGCUAUGCUUUUCAAAGGCCUAACCCUCAGGAGCAACAAGGAGCACCCACAUGGAGACUCCCUGGUUGUGCUUAGGCAACAUUCAAUAAAAAGAACA